UUAGGGUUAGGGUUAGUGUGAUUGACAGUGUGAUUGAUUAAGUGUUUCCUUCAUUUCUUGAGCAGUAUAUAUCCGUACGUCACUGCUGUGAGAACAAGCAGCUCACACGUCUGACUGGACAUGCGGGAUUCACGGGACUUGAUUUCAGUGGAGAGCACUGAAUACCCCGUCCUUCUCUGUUUGACACCAACUGGAACGCCAGCGUAUAACUCAAAGCAGGGAAUGUGUGUAGGAUGGAGGGAAGCGCGAACAUGCUGGGAGAGAUGAGGACAGAUACCAACACCUGUGCAUGCUUGGACAUGACUCGAGCAACAUAACGACAUGGCAUAUUUGUAAUUAUCAUUCAUGACUAUCAUUAUGUACUACAUGAGCUGCGCUUUUCAUCCAGUGCAUUGUAUGUUUUUUUCUGUCAUCCAGAAAGGUAUUUUUAUAUGACCUACUUCUUAGCAAGUCAUGCUUAAGGGCACUUAAUGUAAACCCUACAUAACCCUACUAUGGUUUACGGUGACUUAUCACAUUGCACCAGAAACGACUUCAAAUUUCCUUUUAAACGGAAUGAAUCCCACAUUGUUCGACUGUUGUUGUGAAGUAAAUUGCAGGGAUUUAUAAAACGAAUUGAAUAAAAAAGACACAGUUAUGGUGAUAAAUCAAA